rnacentral:rRNA from 1 species
AUUGAACGCUGGCGGCAGGCCUAACACAUGCAAGUCGAACGAGUGGCGGACGGGUGAGUAAUGUCUGGGAAACUGCCCGAUGGAGGGGGAUAACUACGGGAAACGGUAGCUAAUACCGCAUACCAUCGGAUGUGCCCAGAUGGGAUUAGCUAGGAGGUGGGGUAACGGCUCACCUAGGCGACAAUCCCUAGCUGGUCUGAGGGGAUGACCAGCCACACGUGAACUGAGACACGGUCCAGACUCCUACGGUAGGGCGCAGUGGCGAAUAUUGCACAACGGGCGCAAGCCUGAUGCAGCCAUGCCGCGUGUAUGAAGAAGGCCUUCGGGUUGUAAAGUACUUUCAGCGAGGAGGCGUUACUCGCAGAAGAAGCACCGGCUAACUCCGUGCCAGCAGCCGCGGUAAUAC